ACCUCUACACCCCUGUCAUCAACACACACGGACAAUGGAAGUAUUGUUUUACCCUUAGCAGUGGUGUGUGGUAUCAUGGGUCUCAUCAUCGUGGCGCUGAUCAUAUAUAUCAUGGUAAACAAGCUAUCCAGGAACUCGCACGGUAAUUCAUCUAAUACUGAAACGUCAGUUCAUUAUGGUGUGCGGAGCAUCCCUAAUGGAUCCCAGGGAGAAGAUGACCUUAUUCCCACCAGUGGAACCACCAAAACAUAUUCUGGCCUCAGCCAUGAUGUUGAAAGAAAUAUCUACAAUGUAAUACAACGUAAUGCAAGUGAAGACGGUGAAGAGCAUAGCUACGGUCACAUAAACAGAAGUGAAGGACCUUCCUACGUCAACUCGGUCAGUGGAGAUGAUCCAUACAUUAACGCCUAGAGACAACACACAAGCUAGUGUUUCAGAUUGUUGCAGCAUAUAGUACCAUUAUUCGCAGGUAUAAGAUCAGUCAGUGCGUAUUUGCACUUAUCAAGUAUAACAUGUAAAGUUUAUGUUGUAAAUUAUGUCUCUAUAUCAUGUUCCAUAUAUACUCAAAGCCAUUGAAAACGCACUUCAGUGUUCAGAAUGUGUGUAUUUUAUUACAGUGAAAGAAAACCAAAUGAAACCAACCAAAAUGACAAACACACCCAUUACAUGAAAUGUUAGCAAUAAAGUCCGUAAGAAACACGCCCGUGGAUGAUGACACAGAGGCUCAGAACGAAGCCGGGACCACCGAGGAUCAAUAGCGGGCAUGUCCACCAUAUCCACUGACGAAUGCCUGAAGUCGCCGAGGCAUGGACUGACAACUCAGGAAACGUUGUUGAAUGGUCUGCCAGUGAUGUUGUGGGGGUGGGUGCGUAUGGUUUUACGCCGCUAUUAGCAAUAUUCCAGCAAUAUCAGGACGGGGACACAAGGAAAGGGCUUCACAUUGUACCCAUGUCGGGAAUCGGACCCGGGUCUUCGGCGUGACGAGCGAACGCUUUAACCACCAGGCGAUCCGACCGCCCCUGAUGUUGUGGGGACUGUGUCAACUCUGCCACUGUCUGAGGCGGUUGCUGUUGAGUUGGAACCCUCUGUCAAAGCUCGUCCUACAAGUGUUCAAUUGGAUUCAUGUCAGGUGACAUGGCAGGAUGUUGUUCCUGGUCAGAAAGUCUCCCGUGAACCUUGUGGACGUGCAUUGUCAUGCUGGAAGACAAGAUGAUGUAGGGCGCCAUGUUGAGCCAGUAAUGGCAAUAGUGCUGGGCGAAGGGUAUUAUUCACAUAAUGCCUUGGAUAACCACCGUCUGUGGGACCGGAAACUGAUGGUACAUCCCAUACCAUUGUACAGCCUCCUCCAAAGCGACACCUUUCCAAAACACAGCGGCGUUGACGGGUCCCAAAAGUACCAAAAGGUACAAAAGGUUGAAACGAUGCCACAGUCGAGUUAUCUUGCAUGGAUGGACGUUAACACGUCUGGCGACGAUCACUUGAGUUGCCCCUUCUUGCAGCAUUCUGAUCGCUUGGUUCCUGCUGGCUUGGUCGAGUCUUGGCAUACUGAACAAGUGUCGGAUGACCAUUUUCGUAGGUGCUUUUAAAGAACCUGGGAUCUAGCGUUUCACGUGCAGCAUGUGUCAAGCAACAGUGAUUGUGUUUCGGUGCAGUGUGCACAGUUGCGCUUUUCACUUUCUGAUUCAUUGCUCCAAGGUGGUUCGAACCCGAAUUGUCACAAGGGGACACAUAUCUCUCACACCACUAUCAUGAUGUUUGAAAAGGUUUGGGGCAAUUGCUCUUUUCACAAGUACGCUCAUCAAAAGCUAUUGUGUUUUCAAUGGCUUUGUGGUAAAUCCUCAUUCCACCCCAUUUUUCAAAGAUUCGUUUAUCACCUGAUCAAUCAGCUUGCUUGAUAAUUAAAUUUAGUUUACCUACUUCGUUAUGAAUUAAUAUUAUUCUAAGCUAUGAACAUAUCUGGUUAUGCUUUUUCACAUAUCUUUGAAACAAAAUAGUGGUCUGUAUAUUCAGCGUGAGACUAACCAGUGUUUCUAUAAAGGCCAACGUAUACAUAUAAACUUUAUUUUCGUAAUUAUUUCUCUUAAGUUUGAAAAGGAGUUCCAUAUUUGUUCCAUAUUAUACACAUUCUAGUUAUAUCCUCAUUCCAUAACAUUU